UGCGGAAUUUUAGAUAAUGGAGGGAACUCUGAUCUAGCGACGCCGAGUGCAGGAAGAAGGUCUUCGGGUUGUAAACUGCUGUGGUAAGGGAAAAAUGCUAUGUAGAGUGGAAAGCUACAUAGAGGGAUGGUACCUUACUAGAAAGCCCCGGCUAACUACGUGCCAGCAGCCGCGGUAAUACGUAGGGGGGGAGGGUACCCGGGAUUACCUGGGCGUAAAGGGAGCGUAGGUGGCCUAACAUGUCAACUGUGAAAACCCGGAGCUCAACUCCGGACUUGCAGUUGAAACUGGUAGGCUUGAGGACGGUAGAGGAAGACGGAACUGCCAGUGUAGGGGUAAAAUCCUUAGAUAUUGGCAGGAACGCCGGUGACGAAGGUGGUUUUCUGGGCCGGUUCUGACACUGAUGCUCGAAAGCCAGGGGAGCGAACG
rnacentral:rRNA from 1 species